UGAUUUUUUAUACCCGGUGGAACUUAAGCAUAUCAAUAAGCGUGAGGAAAAGAGAGACCAACCGGGAUUGCCCCAGUAACGGCGAGUGAAGCGGCAACAGCUCAAAUUUGAAAUCUGGGGUCAUUCUGGCCUCCGAGUUGUAAUUUGCAGAGGGAGCCUCGGAGGGCGAGACGGUCCAAGUGCCUUGGAACAGGAUACCGCAGAGGGUGAGAGUCCCGUAUCCGGCCGAUCUUGCGCUCCGUGUGAGGCCUCUUCGACGAGUCGAGUUGUUUGGGAAUGCAGCUCUAAGCGGGUGGUAAAUUCCAUCUAAAGCUAAAUACGGGCCAGAGACCGAUAGCGAACAAGUAGAGUGAUCGAAAGAUGAAAAGCACUUUGAAAAGAGAGUCAAACAGUACGUGAAAUUGUUGAAAGGGAAGCGCAUGGGGGCAGACUUGGUCGCGGGGUUCAGGGUGUCUUUUGGCGCCUGUACUUCCCCGCGGACAGGCCAGCAUCGGUUCUGGGGGGCGGACAAAGGCGGCGGGAACGUGGCUCCCCUCGGGGCGUGUUAUAGCCCGCCGUGCAAUGCGUCCACCCGGGACCGAGGACCGCGCUUCGGCAAGGAUGCUGGCGUAAUGGCCUCAUGCGGCCCGUCUUGAAACACGGACCAAGGAGUCUAACAUCUAUGCGAGUGUUUGGGUGAUAAGCCCGGGCGCGCAAUGAAAGUGAACGGAGGUGGGAGCAUGUCAAAGUGCGCAGCAUCGACCGAUCCGGACGUUUUCUGAAGGAUUUGAGUAAGAGCAUAGCUGUUGGGACCCGAAAGAUGGUGAACUAUGCGUGAAUAGGGUGAAGCCAGAGGAAACUCUGGUGGAGGCUCGCAGCGGUUCUGACGUGCAAAUCGAUCGUCAAAUUUGCGUAUAGGGGCGAAAGACUAAUCGAACCAUCUAGUAGCUGGUUCCUGCCGAGUCCCCCUCAGAGGAAAGAAACACAG
rnacentral:rRNA from 1 species